rnacentral:rRNA from 1 species
UACGUAGGGGGCAAGCGUUGUCCGGAUUUAUUGGGCGUAAAGAGCGUGUAGGCGGCUUCACAGGCCCGCUGUGAAAACUCGAGGCUCAACCUCGAGCUGUCGGUGGAAACCGUGUGGCUAGAGUCCGGAAGAGGAGAGUGGAAUUCCCGGUGUAGCGGUGAAAUGCGCAGAUAUCGGGAAGAACACCCGUGGCGAAGGCGGCUCUCUGGGACGGUACUGACGCUGAGACGCGAAAGCGUGGGGAGCGAACAGG